GAUGAAGAACGUAGCGAAAUGCGAUACGUAGUGUGAAUUCAGAAUUCAGUGAAUCAUCGAAUCUUUGAACGCACAUUGCACCUCUCGGUAUUCCGGGAGGUAUGCCUGUUCGAGCGUCAUUUGUACCCUCAAGCUCUGCUUGGUGUUGGGUGUUUGUUCCGCCUCUGUGUGUGAACUCGCCUCAAAACAAUUGGCAGCCGGCGUACUUGUUUCGGAGCGCAGCACAUUUUGCGAUCCAGAUCAACGUACAGCGGCAUCCAAGAAGCCUUAUUUAACGCUCUUGACCUCGGAUCAGGUAGGGAUACCCGCUGAACUUAAGCAUAUCAAUAAGCGGAGGA
rnacentral:misc_RNA from 1 species